CGGAUAACUCCGCCUGUAGCUCCUACGGGGCCUACUGCCGGCCUCAAGCCCGGGUAAAGGAGGAGGGUUGG
rnacentral:ribozyme from 2 species